CCUACGGGAGGCAGCAGUGGGGAAUAUUGGACAAUGGGCGAAAGCCUGAUCCAGCCAUGCCGCGUGAGUGAUGAAGGCCUUAGGGUUGUAAAGCUCUUUUAUCCGGGAAGAUAAUGACUGUACCGGAAGAAUAAGCCCCGGCUAACUUCGUGCCAGCAGCCGCGGUAAU
rnacentral:rRNA from 1 species